GCUGGCGGCGUGCCUAACACAUGCAAGUCGAACGAGAAAGUGGAGCAAUCCAUGAGUAAAGUGGCGACCGGGUGAGUAACACGUGACUAACCUACCUCCGAGUGGGGAAUAACUCCGGGAAACCGGGGCUAAUACCGCAUAACAUCGCAAGAUCAAAGCAGCAAUGCGCUUGGAGAGGGGGUCGCGGCUGAUUAGCUAGUUGGCGGGGUAACGGCCCACCAAGGCGAAGAUCGGUAUCCGGCCUGAGAGGGCGCACGGACACACUGGAACUGAAACACGGUCCAGACUCCUACGGGAGGCAGCAGUGGGGAAUUUUGCGCAAUGGGGGAAACCCUGACGCAGCAACGCCGCGUGGAGGAUGAAGCCCUUUGGGGCGUAAACUCCUUUCGACUCGGACGAUAAUGACGGUACGAGUGGAAGAAGCACCGGCUAACUCUGUGCCAGCAGCCGCGGUAAUACAGAGGGUGCAAGCGUUGUUCGGAAUUAUUGGGCGUAAAGGGCGCGUANGCGGUGCGGUAAGUCACCUGUGAAAUCUCCUG
rnacentral:rRNA from 1 species